CUCUUCAACCAAGAUUUACCAGGCGCCAACCAGAGGAAUGGCGGUGUGUCUCACCAUCCCAGUAAAGGGCACUGUCGUGAGUGUCACAGCAGGAUGAGUCAGGAAAUGGACUGAGAUAGGAUGAGCUAUCCAGCAUCCCAAGGUUCGGAACGCAUCGGAAAAACCAGGAUGGUCUCAUCCCACUUUAUUUAAAAUAAACCUUUCUGGGUACCUAUCUAGCUACAAUACAUUGGGCAAUAUCAUUUUAAUCCAUGAUGUAUACAUUGCAGUAAAAAAACACUGAUUCAAUUUGCAAGGAAAACAGCAUAUGCUAUCACUGCAGAACAACACUAAAUAGCAGUUAUUUCAUAGAACGCCAGCCCCCAAAUAGCAGGGAAAAGGCUGGAUGGUUAUUUCAUAGAACAAAACCUCAAAAGAAAACAAAAUAUAGCUUUGUUGUACCAAGUUCUGUAGUAAUGAGAUAGCAAGUAAUUACUAAAUAAAAUAAUUAAUAGAUCCCUAUAUAUAAAUAUAUAAUAUUGCUGCUUCCCAGCUCACUACCUUCUCUGCUCAGUGGACCAGUCUCUUAUUGCAGCUGGGGAUUGGUGCCGUACACGGGUCAUGCAGGUCACAGCAGGCCCCAUGUACCAGUCCAAUCACCCUGCGCCGGUAUUCUGAGCAGGGAAAGGGGAGUGAAGAAGUGAAGCUUUUUCCCUAUAUGAUAUAUGAGUAAAUUCUUAAAAAAAAUUGUCAAACACUUGUCCAUCAAAAUACUUACAAUUGCAGGUCACUAAGCUUUGAAAGUAAAAACUUGGUAGCUCCCUCAAUGUGUUUCUUAAAUAGCUCCUGCUUCUCGGCAUCCAAUUUAGGAGUCAAAUUUUUGAUAUAUCUCUUCAUGAAGGUCACAAAUUGUUUCUUAUCGAAUGCCGGUUGCUCCUGUAAAAGUAAAUGAACAAUAAAUAAGCAAAUAUAAUAUAUUUGAUCUACAUAUCUCAGACUAAAAUUAAACAAAUAAUUUUAACCAAAACGAGGAAUGCUGACCUGAAGCCUAAAAGUAUCCACAAUAUCGACCACCUUAACAGCCUGGUCAUCAACUCCUUCAUCUUCUUCACCACCUUCGGCGGAAGGGUUUGCACCAAUGUCGACAUUUACUGCUCCUUGAAUGACCCACUGUCAAAUAAUGCCAGUUUUCAACUUUUGUUUCUAGGUUAUCAAAUGCAAUGACAAUUUUCAACUUUUUCAUAUUUAAUAUUAAAAUUUCCUCUUGCUCAAAAAAAUAUAUUAAAACUUCUUCCACAGAGUGGGAAGAUCAGCAACAAUUUAGAUGUAAAGUAAAAUUUUUAUCCUAUGAUAGCACCCACCCACAUAUAAGGUUUUGAAAAACUUCCCUCACAUCAAAAAUCCACGAAUCACAUACAUGCACAACAUAUAAUGCAUAAUUGCAGAGUACUCAUGCAGACAAAUACACGCACAAGGAAAAAAAAAGAACAUGUGAAAAACAAUUAAAUUUCACAAUAUGGAUGAUUAAAAAAAACUUAUACUGGCAAAUAUAUGGCCAACAAUGCUGACCUUUCCUUCAACUUCCCACAGCAUACCAUUGUGUAUUUCCUUGUACGGAAAUGAGUCCGACAAAAGCUCAUCGCCUGAAUUGCAUUAAACACAUAAUUAUUUCUAUUAACAGGUGACAUGGAGAUCAAAACUGGGAAAACAUAAUCUUGAAAACAAAAAUAUGAAUCCUUUCAAAUUUAAAAAAAAAAAAUGGAGAAGAGGGCAUGGUAACAAGAAUCAAUAAAACUUUACAUAUAGAAGUAAUUUUACACGGCCUAAGCCACGAAAUAGACCUGAGCAGUAUUCUUACGACAAACAAAUAUACCAUUAUUUACAUAUAAAAGUAAUUUUACAUGUCCUAAGCUACAAAUAGACCUGAGCAGCAUCCUUAGGACAGGCAUUAGGUAGAAAAUGCUCAACAACAAAUACUAAAUUAUUCCUUUAGCUACAGGGACUCCAUACCAACAUUAAGUUUCUCAACAAACAAUAAAUAAUAGGAGUUAUCUAGAUAUGACUAUAGCAGUUGGAUGAGAAAAGAGACGUUCUCAUUAUAGCAGAAAUAGGAUGUCAAAGCAUCAGAAUCAGUUGAUCCCUGAUGAACAAGGAAGAACUCAAGGGCCAUACAUAUUACCAUUUCAAUCAAUACCUUUCAUACUUCAUGUAAGUGAAAGUGAACAUUGAGGUGCAGUGGUAACUGAAAAGUAUUUGAUAGUUAAUGACCUAUAGAGGUCCGAGAUCAAUCGGCAUGCGAGAUAACUAUGGAGAAAGUACCCAUCAUUUAACUAUUCAGUUGCCCUGGAUUCCAACCUAGAGAAAGAAGAGCUUAACAAAUUAAAAUUUAGUACAACCAUGAGAUUCUGACAUCCAAUCUAUUCAAAUGCUUAUGAAUUUUUAUGUCAUGCCCAUUAAUGCCUCCAUAUAUGUUAAACCCAUGUGCUUGCCCCUUAGUGUUACCUAACCGUCCAGAGAUCUUCAACAAUGUUUGCUUGCAUGCAUUUUAUCUUUAGGUUCUUUCCUUUCUAUCAAAGGCAUCCAUGGAUGAACGUUACGUAUGUUGAUAUUUGUUUGGCUGACUCAAUUAAGAGGCAUUCUUAAUUUGCUUGUACCCAUAGAUGGAAGUCAUUUGAGGGUCUUGCUGAAACUCAGCAAGGAUUACACCAAGAAACCAGCAGGAAUUUUGAGGAACACACAAGACAUAGAUGGAGAGCAUUUAGAGACAUCUACAUUUAGAACUUUAACUAAACAAGAAAUCAGCCUUUUUGAACAGUAGCACAAUAAUUCAGCCUUUUAGAAAGGCAGCUUUGUAAUUUACAAUGUAUCAAAAUAUUCCAUUUACAGCAAUCAGCUAAAAGCACAUCAUUUGAGUAGCUGAAGAGCAUUACUAAUGAUAAUUUCAUAUCAGGGACUUGUUCAUCCCUAAAAGCAUAUAGAAAAGUCAAAGGGGCAGACGUGACAGAGUGCGCAAAACUAUGCAUCAAUAAAGCAAACAAUCUCAAAUUAGAACAUCUUAAGUUAGUGAAUCACCUCUAGGAUCCUUACACCAGCAUGCUUCAUACAAACAGAGGAACAAAAGUCCCUGCAGUAUGUAAUCAAGAUUUAUAUGCGAGACAAUUCCAGAUGGUUAAGUACAGAGCAAAAAUUGGAUUUUUUUGGAACAUGACAGUCCAAACAUACCGACCAAUUUAUUUCAUUCUAAAAAGAGAUCACCAGUUACAUAUGCAAAAUUAUUUCCAAUGGAUCUACCUCAACUUGUGUAAGAUUCACCUCUCCAAGUUGGGUUCGCAUAAAUCCAAGCAAGCAUCUACAAAAUUCUUCUUCGCUGUUGUUGUGGAUCCUCUAAAAUGUGGAAAUACAAAAUAAUCUUUUUGCACUAUAAUCUCAUGGUUCUCUAAGUUUAUUUUCAAUCAAUAUAUUUUUAUCAUGUUCGAGUAUUAAAUGGUGUCAAGUCAAUAGACCAAUCUUCAGCAUCGUAAAAAAGGUAUCUUCUUUCAAAUAGGCAUCCUACGUAGCUAGUUAAAGCAAAUAAAAUGUUCAGGUGGAAACAAUUUUGAAUACAAUGACCUAGUCACUUAAUACCAACAACAUCAUACACUGUCCACACAAACAUGGAUCUUCAUAUGCCCUAUUAUGUGAUGUAAGGUAUUAGCAGUUUAACUAGAAGGGGAAAAAACUGGCAGCUCCAAAGGUGUUUGAGAAAAGAAGAGGCAAGGAUAGAGACAGAUGGUGGAAGAAGGCAGAGGCAAACGAGUUAGCAACAAUACUCCUUAUAAAGUCAAACUACUGUUCAACCCCCUUUAUAUAGAUGAUACUCCAGGAUAGCACAGCCUAUUUUUGUUGACUAACAAGUCCAAAUCCAUCCAACAAUUUUAGUAUUUUAUAAAGCAUAAUUUCAUACCUUGACACGUUGUUCUAAAAUCAUUACAGCACAUCUAGAUGGCCUGGUGAGCUAUUAAUGGCAACAAAUUGAAGCACUAAAUCUCCAGUGUAAGGGGCUAAUAGUGGUUUACAGAAAGAUGAAAUAACCAUCUAAAAAUAAAAUCCCCUGAUAAGGGAUUUGAAGUACAUCGCAAGGUAAUCACUUUCCACCUUGAUCUCUCGUCCUACACUCCCUGCCUUCUGUCAACUCUAUCAAUCUUGUAAAUAGCUACUUUUUUAACUGGAGGACCUGAUGCUCUCAUAAAGAUGAAUAUUUUUGGUAUUUUAUUCUAAUAUCUACUUCAUCCUUCUCUUGUCCACAUUUCAGCUCCACCUUAAUCAGAAAAAUAAGACAAAUAAGCCCCUAGCUGCACGAACAUCACAUAAUUAUCAGAAAAAUCAUACCCUUGCAAAACAUUCGAUUCAUUUUAAGAGAAGAUAUAUUUUUAUGCCAAACAAAAUCCAAAUCCAUAUACAACAGCAGAAAAAACAGCUCAAAAUAUGAAUAUAAAUAGCCACCCAGCAGGAAAACAUCCCUAUCAUUAGGCACAUCCCAUCUAAAAUAGCCCACAUCACAAGAAACAGCCAUGAUCGCAAAAUCCCCAAUUGAAAAGGAGUCGGCUAAGCAGAUUAAAUCCCGUAAUCAAAAAAGAAAAAACAUGACCCAAUACCAAAAAUUACACAAAACAUGACAGAUUUACAGAAGAUCAUGAAAAAAGAACACAGUUUAACUAAUAAAAUUCUUCGAUUGGAUGUUAUUCAGCCUCCAAGGUCGCAUCUUUCCCUCAAAUCCGAGGCUUACACGAAUAAAGAUCAACAGAGACAAAAGAUAACAUG
rnacentral:lncRNA from 1 species